GAUGAACGCUGGCGGCGUGCCUAAUACAUGCAAGUCGAGCGAACAGACGAGGAGCUUGCUCCUCUGACGUUAGCGGCGGACGGGUGAGUAACACGUGGAUAACCUACCUAUAAGACUGGGAUAACUUCGGGAAACCGGAGCUAAUACCGGAUAAUAUAUUGAACCGCAUGGUUCAAUAGUGAAAGACGGUUUUGCUGUCACUUAUAGAUGGAUCCGCGCCGCAUUAGCUAGUUGGUAAGGUAACGGCUUACCAAGGCAACGAUGCGUAGCCGACCUGAGAGGGUGAUCGGCCACACUGGAACUGGGACACGGUCCAGACUCCUACGGGAGGCAGCAGUAGGGAAUCUUCCGCAAUGGGCGAAAGCCUGACGGAGCAACGCCGCGUGAGUGAUGAAGGUCUUCGGAUCGUAAAACUCUGUUAUUAGGGAAGAACAAAUGUGUAAGUAACUAUGCACGUCUUGACGGUACCUAAUCAGAAAGCAACGGCUAACUACGUG
rnacentral:rRNA from 1 species